rnacentral:lncRNA from 1 species
AGUUUCUAUUGCAGUUGCAAUUGUUAUUCCAUGGUGUGUGACACUGUAUUAUAUGUUGUCUGUAAUUUAAUGAUUUUCAUUUUUUUUUUUUUUUUUCAGCUAUAGCCUCAACAUUCAAAAAUGACAAAAAUGGUCCAUGAGAACUUUCUGAUUAACAUGCAAGAACAAUUGGCAAGCAUGUCAUCACCUGCCUUGAGUUGUGAGUCCUAAAAAUGCAGCUCUGUGUAAGAAUGUCUAUUUCAGUGGAGGAAGAGCCUUCUUGUGAGAUGAUUUUGCAGCUCCUCAAAAUCAAAUGGGUGACGAGCUUCUGACAAGGAUGCCAACAAAUGCAGAGAGCUGCCACUGCUACAAAGCAGUCAAGAGCCAGGCUUCUCUAACUAGCUUGUUCUCUUCUGCUUCAUCUCAUGACACUGCCAGUAAUUGGUUGUGUGAGAAGACUGUCUUCCCAUUUUUGUUGUUUAUUAGAAAAAGAAUUGAAGCCAACAAUAAAAUAUCAACUUAUUGUAUCCAUCUUUCCAACAUGCAAAGGUCUGUUUUUUGUCAGAGAAAUGAAAACUAUUCUGUACUCCAAGGUCCAAUGUUGCAAGAGAAAUGUUGAAGAUAUUUGUAAAGGCUUGAAGGAGCAGCAAUUCAU